UACGUAGGGUGCGAGCGUUGUCCGGAAUUAUUGGGCGUAAAGAGCUCGUAGGCGGUCUGUCACGUCGGUCGUGAAAACUUGGGGCUUAACCCUGAGCUUGCGGUCGAUACGGGCAUGACUGGAGUUCGGCAGGGGAGACUGGAAUUCCUGGUGUAGCGGUGAAAUGCGCAGAUAUCAGGAGGAACACCGGUGGCGAAGGCGGGUCUCUGGGCCGAUACUGACGCUGAGGAGCGAAAGCGUGGGGAGCGAACAGG
rnacentral:rRNA from 1 species